rnacentral:rRNA from 1 species
GCAGGCUGCAACUCGCCUGCACGAAGUCGGAAUUGCUAGUAAUCGUAGGUCAGCAUACUACGGUGAAUACGUUCCCGGGCCUUGUACACACCGCCCGUCAAACCAUGAGAGUUGGCAACACCCGAAGUCGGUAGUCUAACCGCAAGGAGGACGCCGCCGAAGGUGGGGUUGAUGAUUAGGGUUAAGUCGUAACAAGGUACC